rnacentral:sRNA from 1 species
AACAGAGGAACGAAGGCUAAGUGCGCCACCUCGUGUGGCAACACCUUCGUGACCAACAUCCUGUUGG